AGAAUGUAUUGGUGAGGAGUGACUUUGGCGGCUGAGGGAGUCUACCCUAGUCUAGAGAAAGUGUUUUUAUUGAAAAUGGACUUGAGGGAGAUGCAAAUUCUGGUAGUGAAGAAGAUGAAAUGGAGGACAUUGAUGAUGGUGUGGAAGUGGAACAUCUACACAUUUUAGAGGAGAACCAAGAAGACAAUGAAGAUAGAAUCUCUGGGAAUGACUCAAGUGAAAUGGAAGUAUGUCUACGCCUACUCCAUGAGUGCAAGAAUAUUCCAUUUUAGGUGUUUUACCUUGGGCCGGGCAUCAGGUAUGUCCUCUUCUCAAGUACAAGGAUAUUCCCAUGCAUGCUAUAUGCCUUUGAUUGUGUUAGUUAUAUUACUUUUGCUUGAGUUUAGAGUUUUCAAUUAUUUUGCAAGUUAGCAUUGUAUAACAAAUUAUUUAUGAUGAAAACUUGUCCAUGAGUUUGAAGGCCAAAUCACAAUUGUUGCAUGAAUUGAAUGACUAUAUUUCGUUCACCCUACACACGAGGCAUCCUUUUCUAGCGUUUCCUUUUCCAUGUCUUUCAUAGGGAGCUAUCACUAAACGAAUGACUGCAUAUGCCACACAAUUUUUUUCAAAGCUGCCUUGUCAGAAUUCUAAAGAUUAAAUGGUUUAUUUUGAUAAUAUUAUUUGUAGAAUGAUUGUAGUCAUAUCAAGUUGAAAGCUAAGUGAUUGUGUAGAUGACCUAGUGACCGUUGAAGGUUGAAGAUUAAGAAGGCGUUUAGGAUUUCUUAUUUAAGUCUUAUAUUAGGAUAUUUUUUUCAUAUAUUGUUGUAGAAUGUAUAUAUAAAUACAAGAUUAAGAUUUCAU